rnacentral:rRNA from 1 species
GACGAACCGUGCGACCGUUGUUCGGAUUCACUGGGCUUAAAGGGCGCGUAGGCGGCUUGCCAAGUCAGGGGUGAAAUCUUUCGGCUCAACCGGAAAAGUGCUUCUGAUACUGGCGGGCUGGAGGGGGGUAGGGGCAGAUGGAACUUCCGGUGGAGCGGUGAAAUGCGUAGAUAUCGGAAGGAACGCCGGUGGCGAAAGCGAUCUGCUGGACCCCUUCUGACGCUGAGGCGCGAAAGCCAGGGGAGCGAACGGG